rnacentral:rRNA from 1 species
UGAGCAAUCUGCCUAGAUGUGGGGGAUAGCCGGCCCAACGGCCGGGUAAUACCGCAUACGCUCUCCUGGUGGCAUCACCGGGUGAGGAAACUUUCGAGGCGUCUAGAGGAGCUCGCGGCCUAUCAGCUAGUUGGUGAGGUAAUGGCUCACCAAGGCUUUGACGGUAGCUGGUCUGAGAGGACGAUCAGCCACACUGGGACUGAGACACGGCCCAGACUCCGUACGGG